AAUUACACCACAUAUUGCAAUCUUGUUGUUUUUGGGUUGGUGGGUUUCUUGAUUCUUCGAGUUUUAAGUCAACAACUGAGUUCCAAAGAGCUGUUGAAGUCUAAAAGAUCGGUUGAGUUCUGGAUCCGGAUGAUUUAUUACAAUGUUUGAGAAUUGGAAGUGUUGAACUGUGGUAAGAGUAUGGCUGUUGCUGGUUUGCACAAUAUAUCUACAUUUGGUUCUUCUUUAUUUAUAGAGUCUCAGUCCUCGGUGUCGAGGCAGCGGGGUGAACAUGAUAGGCCAAAA
rnacentral:misc_RNA from 1 species